UAUAAGUAAUGUUCAUAAUACUGAACAAUAUUCAAAAUAUAUAAAAUAAAUCCAUAAUAUUUAACAAUAUUCAUAAAAUUUAAAAUAAAUUCAUAAUACAUAACAAUCGUCAUAAAAUUUAAAAUAAAUCAAUAAUACUUAACAAUGUUCAUAAAACUAAAAACUAAUCUAUGAAUUUGUUGAAUCAUCCGUUGGAGUGUGCUCCAGUGUUUCCUCUUGCAUCUGUACCGGCUCAUCUGAAAAAUAAUUGUCCAUUAGUUUCAAUUAACAAUAAAGACAAACAAUAGAAAAAAUAAUAAUCAAAUAUUAAAUCUAAUUAUUUUUUAAUUUUUAUCUAAAUUAUCUUAUAAAUUUUAAUUUAACCUAAACAUCAAGAAAAAAAAAAAAAAAGAAAUUGAGCACAGGAGCAUCACAAAAUUUUGUAAAAGAAAUUAUGUUUUUACAAAUUAAAAAGCUUAAUAUUCAAUUUUACUCUUAAGUUUAUGAGGAAAGUUUAAUCUAAUUAAUGUUUAAUUUUUAUCUAAAUUAUCUUAUAAAUUUUAAUUUAACCUAAACAUCAAGAAAAAAAAAAUUCAGCACAGCAGCAUCACAAAUUUUUUAAAAGAAAUUAUGUUUUUAAAAAUUAAAAAGCUUAAUAUUCAAUUUUACUCUAAAGUUUAUGAGGAAAAUUUAAUCUAAUUAAUUUUUAAUUUUUAUCUAAAUUAUCUUAUAAAUAUUUACACUAAAAUUCAUCUUAUGUACUAAAAUUCAGCAUUCAAUAAAAAUCUACACAAACUCCAGGUUCUUGACUUCCUGGAUAAUUAACUCUCACAACUACUAGUCACCUAUAAAUUAUCUUGCAAGCAAAAUGACAGUAAAAUAAAAAUUAAAAAAAUCAAAGAAAAAGCAUUGAUAAAUUUGUAGACUGGGAAAGAGAUUCACUCCUGGAUUCAUAUUAGAGCUGCUACACCAUUUUGGGGCACAAAAUUGUAAUAGCAGUGUGAAAUACUGCAAAAAUAAGGAAAAAGAAAAACCAAUAGAACUUUUGAAUGCAAUCUCCAGUGUUGAGCGUAGUAGAAAUUUUGCAAGGCAAAAAGGUGAAACCAGAGAGAGAAACCAUUGUUACAAAGCUACAGAAAGGUUGUAAAAAAAAGAGAGCUUCAAUCAUAGGUUCAUAUUAGAGCUCCUAAACCAUUUUGGAGCACAAAAUCCUAAUUGCACUGAAAUAUAACAAGAAUUUAAUAGAGGAAAGGAAAUAACAACUGAAUUUUUGGAUUUGAUGUCCAGUAUUGAUCUUAAUGCCAAUAAAUUUUGCAGGGAAAAAUGUGAAAUCAGGAGAGAAACCAUUUGAAUGCCAAAACUUGCAAUUAAUUUACCAUUGUUUUGAUGCUGCAUCCCAGUGAUUAGAGUCAUAGGAAUCAACUCAUAUGAGAUACAGGGAAAAUAAAAUCUACCUAGAAAGAUUCUACUGCAUUGCUUAAUAACAUCCCAGGCAUACAAUAAAAAUUAUUACCUCUCUGAGUUGCACCAGCUGGUCUCUUGUGUACCUCAUUCGGUCAUGAGUCUCAAAUCUUGAGUCUCCAGUCUAACAACAAAACAUAAGAUAGGGAAGGUUAGGAACUUCAAUAAUAUAUUACCAAGUUGAAUAGGCAACAAUCAAAAUCCAAAAAACCAAGUCCAAUAACAACUGAAUUGAACAACACAGACAGCUUGGCUUGCAAGUCUGAGACGCCCUAUUACAAGAUAUGCCAUAAAUCAUACAUAAAACUAAUGCCUUGAUUUAUAAAAUAACUUCAAACAUAUAUUUGCCUCUCUUUAAUAAAAUUAGAACAUACAAUGCAGAAAAGUUCAAGAACAUGC
rnacentral:lncRNA from 1 species